AAACAGAAUAAAACAGAUGGUGCCGCAGGAUAGGCUGCGGAUAAUAGGGAAACAGGUGAGAGGCCUGUGCGAUCUCGUCACUGUAUGCAGGAGCGUAUUGCAAAAAUGUCACUGUGAAAUCGGGAAGGCUGCAAUAUGCAAUGACUGUGAGCCAGGAGACCUGCCAGAGCUGUGGUACGGGAA
rnacentral:ncRNA from 17 species